rnacentral:rRNA from 1 species
AUGUGGGAAACCACGAUGCGGGAAACCCAAGUGCCAGCACUAUGUGUUGGCUGUCCUCAAGUGUUCGUAACUUGGGAAGAAAGUGCUGGGUAAGACGGGUGCCAGCCGCCGCGGUAAUACCCGCAGCACAAGUGGUGGUCAUUAUUAUUGGGCCUAAAGCGUCCGUAGCUGGCCUGUUAGAUGCCUGGGUAAAUCGGUGCGCUCAACGCACCGAACUCCGGGUAGACCGGCAGGCUCGAGACCGGGAGAGGCAUGGGCUACUCGCGGGGUAGGGGUAAAAUCCUGUAAUCCUGCGGGGAGGACCAGUGGCGAAGGCGCCAUGCUAGAACGGCUCUGACAGUGAGGGACGAAGCCCUGGGGCGCAAACCGGAUUAGAUACCCGCGUAGUCC